CUAUACAUGACUCUGCGCAUAUCAAUAAGCGGAGGAAAAGAAACUAACAAGGAUUCCCUUAGUAACGGCGAGUGAAGCGGGAAGAGCUCAAAUUUGAAAUCUUCAAGGUUUUACCUUGACGAAUUGUAGUUUAAAGAAGUGUUUUCUGUUAGAAGUGAGUACAAAAGUUCCUUGGAAUAGGGACAUCAUAGAGGGUGAGAAUCCCGUAUUUGACCAUUAUUUUCAGCUUUGUGAUACACUUCCAAAGAGUCGGAUUGUUUGGGAAUGCAGUCCAAAAUGGGUGGUAAAUUUCAUCUAAAGCUAAAUAUUGGCGAGAGACCGAUAGCGAACAAGUACCGUGAGGGAAAGGAUGAAAAGAACUUUGAAAAGAGAGCUAAACAGUACGUGAAAUUGUCAAAAGGGAAGCGUUUGACACCAGUGUUGUUUUCUCGAAAAUCAAUUAAAAAUGGCUCGAUUUUGUAUUGUUGAGACCUUAAAAGCUCACUGUACAUUUUUCGUGUCUUUUUUAAUGCACUUUUCGUUUAACAAGUCAACAUCAGUUUCUUUUGUUGUAAAAGGGUCAUUGGAAGGUGGCUUUCUUUUCGGAGAAAGUGUUUAUAGCCUUUGGCCUCUGCAAUCGGAGAGACUGAGGUCUGCAGCGUAGACUCUUCGGGGUUAGAUACAUUUGUGCUAAGUUAUAGCUUUUUAUAGACAACUUGUUGACUAUAAUUAGUCUUGUAGCUUACUCGCUUAUGCUAUUUUACCUACGCUUAGGAUGUUGAAGAUGUAGCACAUCAU
rnacentral:rRNA from 1 species